AUUGAACGCUGGCGGCAUGCCUUACACAUGCAAGUCGAACGGCAGCGCGGACUUCGGUCUGGCGGCGAGUGGCGAACGGGUGAGUAAUACAUCGGAACGUACCCUGUUGUGGGGGAUAACUAGUCGGAAGAUUAGCUAAUACCGCAUACGACCUGAGGGUGAAAGUGGGGGACCGCAAGGCCUCACGCAGCAGGAGCGGCCGAUGUCUGAUUAGCUAGUUGGUGGGGUAAAGGCCCACCAAGGCGACGAUCAGUAGCUGGUCUGAGAGGACGAUCAGCCACACUGGGACUGGGACGCGGCCCAGACUCCUACGGGAGGCAGCAGUGGGGAAUUUUGGACAAUGGGGGCAACCCUGAUCCAGCAAUGCCGCGUGUGUGAAGAAGGCCUUCGGGUUGUAAAGCACUUUUGUCCGGAAAGAAAUCGCGCUGGUUAAUACCUGGCGUGGAUGACGGUACCGGAAGAAUAAGCACCGGCUAACUACGUGCCAGCAGCCGCUGUAAUAC
rnacentral:rRNA from 1 species